GUAGGGAAUAUUGGGCAAUGGGCGAGAGCCUGACCCAGCCAUGCCGCGUGCCGGAUGAAGGCCUUCUGGGUUGUAAACGGCUUUUCUCAGGGAAGAAAAAGGGGAUGCGUCCUCAACUGACGGUACCUGAGGAAUAAGCACCGGCUAACUCCGUGCCAGCAGCCGCGGUAAUACGGAGGGCGCAAGCGUUGUCCGGAUUUAUUGGGUUUAAAGGGUGCGUAGGUGGCCUGUUAAGUCCGGGGUGAAAGCCCACAGCUCAACUGUGGAACUGCCCUGGAUACUGGCGGGCUUGAGUCCAGACGAGGUUGGCGGAAUGGAAGCUGUAGCGGUGAAAUGCAUAGAUAGCUUCCAGAACCCCGAUUGCGUAGGCAGCUGACUAGGCUGGUACUGACACUGAGGCACGAAAGCGUGGGGAGCGAACAGGA
rnacentral:rRNA from 1 species